UAUGGGUUUUCCCGCAUUCGUAUAUUCAAGCUCUUGCGUUUCUCUUUCAGUGCAUGGAUUCCAUUUUCUCUCCUAAUUCCUCGUCAAUCUCCUGGUUCACUUCUCCUUAUCUUCAUACUUCUAAAUCGGGGAUUUCCACUUCCCGGAAUCUCUCUUCUUCCAUCAGUUUUAGUGCUUCCUCUUCUGCUUCAGCUUCCGCUUUCUCCACCAUCGGAUUCUCCAGAGCCGCUAUGUCUAACCCCA
rnacentral:misc_RNA from 1 species